rnacentral:rRNA from 1 species
AUCUUCCGCAAUGGACGAAAGUCUGACGGAGCGACGCCGCGUGCGGGAUGAAGGCCCUUGGGUUGUAAACCGCUGUCAGAGGGGAUGAAAUCUCCGGAGGUUCUCCUCCGGAGUUGACAGAGCCUCAGAGGAAGCACGGGCUAAGUAUGUGCCAGCAGCCGCGGUAAUACAUACUGUGCGAACGUUAUUCGGAAUCACUGGGCUUAAAGGGUGCGUAGGCGGUGGUUCAAGUCAGAUGUGAAAUGCCUGAGCUCAACUGAGGCAUUGCGUUUGAAACUGGAUCGCUUGAGUAUCCCAGGGGUGUGCGGAACUGCCAGUGGAGCGGUGAAAUGUGUUGAUAUUGGCAGGAACACCGGAGGCGAAAGCGGCACACUGGGGGAUAACUGACGCUGAGGCACGAAAGCCAGGGUAGCGAACGGGAUUAGAUACCCCGGUAGUCCUGGCUGUAAACGAUGAGCACUGGGCGGGAGGAAGUUCGCUUCUUCCUGCCGUAGCGAAAGCGUUAAGUGCUCCGCCUGGGGAGUAUGGUCGCAAGGCUGAAACUCAAAGGAA